UUAUUCAUAUAUGUUUAUAUGCUCUGUGUAUUUUUUAUAACAUCUCCAUAAGUUUUAUUGAAAAAAAAACUUCUAUAAUAUGUACAUUGUAAAUCAAAUUAACCAUGCUCAAUGAGACAGAGGCAAUCCAUAAUUAAAGCAGUUUACAUUUAAAUGCAAAGACAUGUAUUUAAGGUAAUUAAAACUUCACGAGUUCUUUUUAAAACAGCAUGUUUUCUGAUAUUGGUGAAUUUUGUCAUUUUACUGAAGGAAUACUGUCAAUUGAAUUUUAUUUGAAUUGCUGGUACAAUAUUGAUAGAUUCGGUUUAUUUAACAAAAUGCCAUUAUUUUUAUUUCAUUUUAUUAAUAUUACCAUAGUAAUUUUUUGUACAAAGCACAUAUGUAUUUCAUGUAAUGUAACAUAAUAAAUUUUGUAGUC
rnacentral:misc_RNA from 1 species